GUUUUUCUCUCAAGGGUUUCAAGGGAAACCUAGCGCCGCCGUUGAAAUCCCUUCUCUCUCCUGCGUUAGCCUCGCCAUUUUUGGCAAAAUAGCAGGUGUACAACACCUUUUCAGGCCUUGCAUGGAUAGAUCGACCAAGCAUUUAAUGCUUCGUCUACAAAUUCGCCAAACACGACCUCAGAAAGAUUUACGAGCUUGGGAGGAUAAGCGUUAAAUAUUUAAGGUUAAGGCGACCGAAAAGGUUGACAGAUAGACGAAUCUGACCCGUAGGUGCUUUAUCAGCGGACUUUCAGGAGCACUUCACUUACUUUGUAGCUACAGUCUAUUGGUAUUGGUCUUCAUGGUCACUUGUAUCCUAUGUAGAGGUUCGUAGAUAUGUGUGUACAGUUAGACGUUUUAUAACCCUAUUGGUUCAUACCAUUGUAUAACAUUUUAGUAGCUUUGUUGGCUGGUGAUGAUGGACAUAAUUGUUGAAGAUUAUAUAGAGAUGUGCCAUCAUUGUGAUAUAUGUCCUUACAAAUUAUGAUAUCCAUGAGCUAUCUUUAUGGUCCACCCAUAAAUGAUUAUGAGAAGUAUGUUUAAAGGUGCUCGGUGUGUUAGCUUCGGGUGCCUGUCAUGGCCCUCUGGUUGGGUCGUGACAAAACACCUCAAAACUCCUGAUAUACCCGGAGAUAUACCUCUCUGAAGUUGACCCAAAAUUUCUAUCCAAAAUUUUGCCAAAUUUUCGAAAAACUUAUUUUCUUCGAUUUGCUUGAACCCGGAACCUUUAGACACUUGCUUAACAAUUGUUAAGAGUAUUCCUUGACCUUAUAACGGUUCCAUGACCUCUCCGAUCUUACGUUAUUUUACUCACAACACAAACGACGCAAAAAAUUUUGAGGUGUAACACAAUUUGAAUAAAGUAGCACGAAGGAAGGAAAGAGAGUGAGAUUUCCUAAAUGUCCCAUAGCCUCCCGCAGAUAAGUACGGAGCUCAUCGUACCGAUCCACAAGACUCUACUAGACACGCUCUUAUAUUAAAGACUGGGUAACCUAGGGCUCUGAUACCAACUUGUC